AUAAGAGAAUGUGUGCAGACAAAGGACGAGGAUGUGCGCCACUAUUUCGCCAGAUUAAGACAAGUAUUCAAGGCAAAUAGCGGGAUAGUGGCGCCCGUCCAGUGGGUGGAUGACGGACCAUUCGCCCAACAACUAAAAAUAGAAUUAUUAAACGGCAUGCGGCCAGAAAUAAGCUUGUACAUUAAGAAGCACAUGGUGGGUUACAGAACCGGAGGGUUAAGGCAAUUUAAGGACUGGGCACGAAAUAUGAGUCAGAUACAGACCAC